rnacentral:misc_RNA from 1 species
CCAAUCUCGGCGGGAUCGACAUUUCGCCGAUCAUCCUUCUGCUGAUUAUCUUCUUCAUCCGCCAGUUCAUGUGGACGACGCUGCUGCCGAUCCUGCUUUAAAGUGCAUCCCGAAAAGCGUGAAACGGUUUUCGGAUAAGAUGCGCGUCAGAAUAAAUAGUUAGAGCAUCGGUCUGAUUCAUU